GCCUGCUGAGUGCUCCAGGCCCCACGAGCCUGCCCCAUUUCACAGAUGGGAAAGCGGAGGCUCAUAGGUCACAUAAGUGGCCCAAGGUUUUACAGAGAGGAAGGAGCACAAAGGAGAUUUGAUUCAAGAAUCCUUUCCAUUACCCCUCGCUCUAAGCUGGAUGCGUUGAGGGAGGGUGGGGGGCGAUAGGGAGAGGUAGGAGAUUGAUGGAGCUGAACUCAUGAGACCCUUGGAGCGUUAUCCAGAGCACCUGGUACAUAAUAGGUGCUGUCACUUUCCAUCUCAGCUUCAGGCAUUCUUGGACAUCAUUUCCGGGGCCAGCUGCAUUGCUGCAAAGAGACAAGCACACAGCUUUCUCCUGCUGGCUGGAGAACGCACUUGAGGAAUCGCCAGGAAAUCAAAAGUCCUGACAGCUGUGGCCUCCUGAGAUUCAUUGUCUAAGGACGAGCUUCUUCUGAAUGUGCUGACAACAUGGCAUCAGACUGAAAACCAAACCAAAUGCACUGACUUGACCGCUCUCCAUGACGGGGGACCCAAGCCCUGGGCCGGGCUGACCCUGGGGGCUGCCUCAGUUGGCCUUCGUUACACGGCCCGGCUGCUGUUUCCCU
rnacentral:lncRNA from 1 species